rnacentral:misc_RNA from 1 species
GAGAAGAACGCAGCGAAAUGCGAUACGUAAUGUGAAUUGCAGAAUUCAGUGAAUCAUCGAGUCUUUGAACGCACAUUGCGCCCCCUGGUAUUCCGGGGGGCAUGCCUGUCCGAGCGUCAUUGCUGCCCUCAAGCACGGCUUGUGUGUUGGGCCUCCGUCCUCCUCCCGGGGGACGGGCCCGAAAGGCAGCGGCGGCACCGCGUCCGGUCCUCGAGCGUAUGGGGCUUCGUCACCCGCUCUUGUAGGCCCGGCCGGCGCUUGCCGACACAUCAAUCUUUUUUCCAGGUUGACCUCGGAUCAGGUAGGGAUACCCGCUGAACUUAAGCAUAUCAAUAAGCGGAGGA